GACGCUCUUCCGAUCUCCGGUUGUGACGCCAGUCGCAUCGCCGGGUAGCUAUGUUCGGAAGGGAUAACCGCUGAAAGCAUCUAAGCGGGAAGCCUACCUCAAGAUAAGAUUUCCCUAGGACUUUAUGUCCUCUAAAGAGCCGUUCGAGACUAGGACGUUGAUAGGUUGGAUGUGGAAGCAUAGUGAUAUGUGAAGCUGACCAAUACUAAUUGCUCGUGAGGCUUGACUAU
rnacentral:rRNA from 1 species